AUAUAGACAAAGAUUGUGAAGCAGAAUUCACGAAGCGUUGGAUUGCUCACCCACUAAUAGGGAACGUGAGCUGGGUUUAGAUCGUCGUGAGACAGGUU
rnacentral:ncRNA from 1 species